UAAUUCGACUAUGUGCGGUAUACUUCCCAUUGAAUGGAAAAAAAAACUGCAUAUUAAAAUAUACCAUAUAUUCAGUGCUCUGGGUGCUAUAAGGCAUCCUUAAUUAUUUAACUACGUGGUCAAAAAUCAGCAACGGGUGCACUUGAUCUGGACGCGAACAAUCGGCGGCUAUAUGACAGUAAGGAAGGACGUGCCGCGAGGGCUUUCAAAUUCAAAUACGCUUAAGUAGCCGACAUCAUGCCAUUAAAAAGAUUCGAGCACAUUAGACGCAACAUUCAUUUUGUGGACAACACCUAUCCGGAUGAGGACCGGUAUUACAAGAUACAUCCGUUCAUUGAAAAAAUAAGAAGAAACUGCCUUUCGACAAAAGAAGAAAUGAAGUAUAGUAUAGAAGAAAUAGCCAUACCAUACAAGAGCACUAAAGCAGAAAACCGGAGGCAGAAUAAUCUUAUGAAACCCAAUAAAUGGGGAUUCAAGAACUUGUUAACAUAGAUGUACCGGAAGUUGACACUUUUCGGUAAAUCUAUUUUAGGGAGGAGGAACAGCAGAUGACACUGGGUGCAAAAAUGGUAUUAGCCCUUUGUAAAACAAUUCAGAUUCCAGGAUGUUCUGUAUAUUUCGAUAAUUUUUUCUUGACGGCCGACUUGAUCUGGUAUAUACGUGAUCACCGAGGAAUAUUCAGUCUCGGAACCAUAUGACAAAAUAGACUGAAAGGUUGCAUCAAUGGCCUGUUAAGUGACAAGUAACUAAAGAAAAGAGGCAGAGGUUCGUUUAGCCAAGUCGUAGACAACGACAAAAGGAUAGCAGCUGUCAAAUGGUACGAUAAUAAAGUUCUAACAUUGGCUUAUGUAGAAUCUUACCCAGUUCAUGAAAUCAAGAGAU